CAGCAGCCGCGGGAAAACCAGCACCUCGAGUGGUCAGGAGGUUUAUUGGGCCUAAAGCAUCCGUAGCCGGUUGUUUAAGUUUUUGGUUAAAUCUAUGCGCUUAACGUAUAGGCUGCCGAAAAUACUGGACAGCUAGGGAGUGGGAGAGGUACACGGUACUCAAUAGGAAGGGGUAAAAUCCUUUGAUCUGUUGAUGACCACCUGUGGCGAAGGCGGUGUACCAGAACACGUUCGACGGUGAGGGAUGAAAGCUGGGGGAGCAAACCGGAUUAGAGACCCCCGUAGUCCCUGUCUCUUAUAC
rnacentral:rRNA from 1 species